AUGUGCAAGUUUUGACACAAAUGGAAUGAGAAAAGAUGUUAGAAUAGAGAUGAGGAUGGAAUAAGGAGAGACGACCUGGCGCUGUGCACUUGCAGCCCAGAAAGCCAAUCAUAUGCUGGGCUGCAUCAGAAGGGACGUGGAGCUGUUGGAGUGAGCCCAGGGGAGGCCACAGAGAUGCUGUGAGGGCUGGAGCAGCUCUGCUGUGGAGCCAGGCUGAGAGAGCUGGGCUGGGUCAGCCUGGAGAAGAGAAGGCUCCUGAAGGGGAGACCUUAGAGCAGCUCCAGUGCCUAAAGGGGCUGCAGGAAACCUGGAGAGGGGCUUGGGACAAGGGCCUGUAGGGACAGGCCAAGGGGAAUGGCUUUAACCUGCCAGAGGGGAGACUGAGAUGAGCUCUUAGGCAGAAGCUCUUCCCUGUGAGGGUGCUGAGGCGCUGGCCCAGGGUGCCCAGAGAAGCUGUGGCUGCCCCAUCCCUGGCAGUGUUCAAGGCCAGGUUGUACACAGGGGCUUGGAGCAAGCUGCUCUAGUGGAAGGUGUCCCUGGCCGUGGCAGGGGGUUGAAACUGUAUGAGCUUUAAGGUCCUUUCCAACCCAAACAGAGCUGUGAUUCUGUGAUCCUAUGUUAGCAAAUACAACAUUUAUCUGUUUCUUUACCUGACAGCAUGCUGCCCAGGCAACUUCUUCACAGCAGUGCACCGAUGAUGAGGAGCUGCUCAUCUUGAAGAGAGAAAUCUCAAAUGAAAUCCUGUUCAUGUUGGCAUAGGUACUAUACUUUCAAGGGGGGUGAUGAUGAAGGGGGUCUCUUAAGAAUCCUUUCUUGUUGAUGUUUCAAGAGUCUCUCAGGGUACUGAAAAUGAAUCCUGUAUUUUAGCUGCUGGAAUGCCAGUGUGAGUGCUCUGCCUGCCAUCAGGCCAGCAGCUUUCCAGGCACCAGCUGCUAACGUGCCAUAGUGCUGAAGCACUAACAGCUUUGGGGAAUUCAAACCCCAGGGUCAAAAUAAACUGGGAUUAAGAUGUUAAACAAGAUUUAUUUCUGUUCAGCAUCUCCUGCCUCUCAGGAAAUCCUACUAAUUGAUGACCAAGAGAAAUACACACUUGUCUCUGUAGGAAGAUUGUUCUUCCAGCUAAUGAGAGCAUGUUGUAACAGCUCCUUUUUUCACCAGGAAAACCUAAUCAGGAUAAUAGGGUUGUUAUGUUCUGUUGCUCCUGUCAAAGAUGACAAAAAGGCAAUUUUUUCUCUUUUCUUCCCCCUGGCAAUGUGUUCAUAAGGCAGGAGCCAGCCUGCUGCUGUAUUAAGAGUGGAAGAGAGAGGGAAAGGUGACCUGGGGACAGUCUGGCUCCAGUGGUGGGAAGCUGCUCUGGUAAGGAAGCUGUUAGUUUUGCAGCAGUCAUUGGGAGACAUGGGAUGAAUCACGUGAAGGAGAAAUUGGAGCAUUCCUGUUAAUGACAGCAGAGUUAACAAUUCCCUUACAGCUGUGCUGUCACAGGCUGUGGGGUUUCUCAGCUCCGCAUUAGUCAUGCUCCCUUGGCCUCAGCCCAUGGAGUUACCCCAGGGUUUGGGGCUAGUUUGGACUUGGUGUGUCUGAUGAAGCAGUUUGCUUUGCAGGGGUAGGGGCAUCAGAAACCCAUCCACAAAAGCCUGUGUGGAUGUACACAGGGUCUGUGCAAAAGGGAGAGGGGUCAGAACAAGUGGAGGGCUGAGGACAUCCUCCCAGGGAUGCUGGCUGACCACUGAUCCCAUAGAGAAGGUGAAGGUGCUGCUGGUACAGACAGGCACCCACAGUGGCUGAGUUGUGCCAUGCAGCAGCCCAGGACAAAGCCAGAAGCCUGGCUGCAAAACACUGCACGGAGUUUACAACAUGUAUUACUGUAGCCAGCUCUUGUCCUGGUCAACAGGAUGCUUCUGCCCACACUAGAUCCAAGACGUAGUUCAGUCCCUGUGGCUUUAAAUUUCAUGUUCCAUGCUCAGCCUGACAGUAAAGGGUAAUUAAUUAGCACAGGGCUGGUUACAUUUUAAUUAAGCAUUAGCUUCAGCUGUGCUUGGGGGAUUGCUUGUUGUACCAGGGGGACUGUGAGUUGGGCUGAGACCACCAGCUCUGGGAUGCAUAAACAGCUCACAGGCGUGAGCUGGUAAUGGGAACCACUUAGCUGAGAUGCUGAAUGGCCAUAGCAUUGAGUGGUACUCAAGAGAUAAACAUUUCAUUAUGUGCGAGAGAUGCAGUAAAGGACAUGAGCAAGAUCAAGGUAAGAUACAGAGCAAUAACAAGGCACAGGACAAAAAUAGGAUGGUAACUGUGGAGUGGCUGGAGCAUAAUGAUGCCAGGUUUAGCAAGGUCUCUGAUCAGCCCUUCCUUUAUGCUCUGACAAGAGGGGAGUCUGGUGGCAGGGGCCAUAACUAAAAAACCAUUGCCAGUGCUUUGUUACUACUAGCUAAAGAGCAGCAAUCUCUGUGGUAUAUGCUCCUAGGUGUCAGGUUUGAAAAGCCCUCAUUGGCAUUUAACUAAUAGUAAAGAAUGAAUACUUAGCUUUAAUCAUGCAUAGUUGUUUUAAUCCAAGCAGGAAAACGUGAAUUGGUUUUGUACUAAGUCAUGAGCAUAAACUUCAAAUGGAUAAGUGGGAACCAGUUAAUACAAUUUAUUUAGACUUCUACAGGGUCUUUGAGAAGUUCCUUCAUUGGGGGCUUCUAAAGUUAGUGUUUGGUGUGGCUGAAAGGAUCAUAGCACCUCAUCCGAGCAAAAGGCUCUAUGUAACUUCAGUGCCAUCUCCUCUGACCAUCUCCUGACCAUCUUUAUAGCACAAACUGUUAGAUUUCCCUCUCCAAUCUUUGUGUUGGCAUGGGCACUUACCCCUCUUCAUCAGCCUAAUCACAUAAUUAGCACUCCUUUGGAAAAGGAGUUGGGAAAGCACUGGGAGCACAUCUGGCUGUGCAGCUCUUCUGGGGCUGGGUCAGCACGGUGGGGCAAAAGCAGAGUGAGUAAGACAGUAUGAGCGAAGCAAAUGUGUGAGAGGCAAACGGUGCGAAGUAGCUUUCACACGAGUACAGCCCUGAAAUGCUGCUUUUUCUGUCAGACACAAUCAGGUAUCUUCUCCCUGCUGCUGACUUCGGCUUAAGAGAGGAAACCAGUGAGAGGCCUCUCUCUAGAAGCAUGUGAGACCUGAGUACCAAUAAAACCUGCUAAAACCCCCAAGAGAAUGUUUAAGGUUGCAUUCUGGAUCUUAGCAUCCAUCUUCUGAUGGUUUACUGAGAAGGUAAAAGAUGUGCAGGAAGCAUAUGGCUGAUGUACUGCUCUGCAAGAUGCUGUGACUAGAAGUGCUGAAACACGAGACGCUGACUCAAAGGGAAAUACUCAGCUUCCUCUCUGAACUUGCCCAUGGCUUUCAUGAGAAGAGGAGCAGUUUGAUUGCCCUGGUGCUCCCAUCCUGCUGGACACCCCACUGGAUAGCUAUGGGAAGCUUCCAAAUAUAAACCUAACGCUCCCUAGCUGUUUGCCAGCAGUGGGCAGGUCUAGACUCCCUGAAUAAUUCAGAGAGGUUCUAAGUUCCUCUCGUUGCAAAUGGCCUUGAAAAGGAAAACAAGUGGUUGGUUUGGUGGGGCCCCAAAAUGUCCCUGAACGUGUCUCCCUUCCCUUCCUCUCUGCUAGCAGGUGAACACAAGGCUUCCUUUGCACGUUUCUGCUCAAUUUUGUGUUCUGUUAGCAAGGAGAGGUUUAUUUCAGUCUACCAGAGGAGAUCACUGAUGCCCAGAGGAAGGGCACUCUCCUUUGAGGCUGUACUGGAUUUAUUGCAUUAACCUUGUUUCCCUCUGGAAAACUUGCUUGAAGAAAGCCAGCAGCAGGUCAGGUCCCUCGUCAUAGCUGUACUUGGGGUUUGCAUUGCUCUAUCAAGCCUUUAGCCCUCCCAUUUUCUGUUUGUGCAUUUAAUUGCUCAUGUGCUACACAUCCAGUUUUGGACGUACAAAUUGAGUUUAAAAUGUCCAAGCCGGGUGUAAUGAUGAGAUUAUUACUGAUACCAUCAGUGCGGUCCUACUCAGUGUUGUACAUUUAUUGUCUGCAAACACGAAGCCCUUUUCCUACAGGAGCCUGAGGUUUCAUUUGGGGUUUUUAGACCCUGCACGUGUGAGCUUGAUACAAACGCUGUGCUGGUGCCAAACUGCUGCUUGUACUUGCAGAAUGCGAUUGAAGGAGACCCACUGAGGUUUUAGGGGUUGCCACCGUCUGAAGUGAAAUUGUAGGUCAAUCAUAUACUGCACCUAUUUCACGGCAGCAGCUUCAAAAUGAAGUAGAUAGAUAGCAGUAAAAGCUUUCAGUUAAUAAAUCCCCAUCAAUCAAACAAGUUGGCCUUGGUUUAGUUCUCAUCAUGGUAACCAGUUAUAAAAAUUAUUAAUGACCAAUCCUCUUGAUUUUCAAACAGCCGAGAGAGCAAACAUGGUUCCUGCAUGAACGCCUCCCCUCCGAAACACCUGCAGCUUCCUGUGUUCUGCAUGUUUGAAA